UCCAAAUUAACAAAAUUUAAAACGGGUUAGUCCAUUUUGUGAUGAUUCAAUCCAAAUCGAUAUUCUCUACUGCCAAAAAUACCCACCACUGAUUAAACUUUUUUUUUCAGUUUCUACUUUUUCCUUCCCAUGUCUCUCCCGUGAAGAAAAAUCAUAAACCUAAUAUCGAUUCAAUGAAAGUUCAAUCUCCAAAUAUAAAUCUCAGAAUGAAACAAACUUUUGAUUCAAUUAGGUUCGACUUGAAAACCUAAAUCUUUGUCAUCGGUACCUUUUUUUUUUUUGAAGAUUAAUUAAUUCAGGAGAAAACUUGAUGAGAUUCAAUUUCAACAUCGAAGAGUUCAUGGUUGAAAGAGAUUGGAAAGUCUGUCUACAGUUAAUGCUAGCGAUACGACCAAUAUCAUUUGGCUAUAGAUAGUCAACAAGGACCAAGCUGUGGUGAAGGCAGGACUAGAAACUGAUGGUGCAACCUGGAAUGUGACAUAUGUUAGCAUGGGAAAUCCUCGUCGUGUUACUUUCUCAUCAAGUGAAUGCAAGCCGACUACAAGACAUGAUCUGGAAAGAUAUAAAGUUUGUGGAGAUAUGGUCUCUACAAGACAUGCUGAAGAAUAUUAUCUCGAUGCUCAUGUUUCGGUGCUUUUCGAGGGAGCUUAAGAAAGUGGAGAAGGACAAUGGAACGAUCUUGUAGAUGGAUAAUCUUUUGUAUUUCUGAUUUUAAUAGCAUGCUUGCUAUACAUUUAGAUACUUGCUAUGUGUAAGAUUUUAAUAGCAUGCAUCUCUGGUGGACGAUUUGAGUUGUAUGUGGUAUGCAAAUAAGUGCUUCUUGUCUUGUCUUUGUUUUUACAUGUGUACAUGUUUGUACACCAGUGUAAACUAAGAUUUUUUUAAAAUGAAAAUUAUAUAGGCAUAUGGGUA